rnacentral:rRNA from 1 species
UUCGCCCUUAGAGUUUGAUCCUGGCUCAGGACGAACGCUGGCGGCGUGCCUAACACAUGCAAGUCGAGCGAGUGGAGUUCUUCGGAACAAAGCUAGCGGCGGACGGGUGAGUAACACGUGGGCAACCUGCCUCAUAGAGGGGAAUAGCCUCCCGAAAGGGAGAUUAAUACCGCAUAAGAUUGUAGCUUCGCAUGAAGUAGCAAUUAAAGGAGCAAUCCGCUAUGAGAUGGGCCCGCGGCGCAUUAGCUAGUUGGUGAGGUAACGGCUCACCAAGGCGACGAUGCGUAGCCGACCUGAGAGGGUGAUCGGCCACAUUGGGACUGAGACACGGCCCAGACUCCUACGGGAGGCAGCAGUGGGGAAUAUUGCACAAUGGGGGAAACCCUGAUGCAGCAACGCCGCGUGAGUGAUGACGGCCUUCGGGUUGUAAAGCUCUGUCUUCAGGGACGAUAAUGACGGUACCUGAGGAGGAAGCCACGGCUAACUACGUGCCAGCAGCCGCGGUAAUACGUAGGUGGCGAGCGUUGUCCGGAUUUACUGGGCGUAAAGGGAGCGUAGGCGGACUUUUAAGUGAGAUGUGAAAUACCUGGGCUCAACUUGGGUGCUGCAUUUCAAACUGGAAGUCUAGAGUGCAGGAGAGGAGAAUGGAAUUCCUAGUGUAGCGGUGAAAUGCGUAGAGAUUAGGAAGAACACCAGUGGCGGAAGGCGGAUUCUCUGGGUCUGUAUCUGACGCUGAGGCUCGGAUAGCGUGGGGAGCAAACAGGAUUAGAUUCCCUGGUAGUUCACGCCGUAAACGAUAAAUACUAAGGUGUAGGGGUUGUCAUGACUUCUGUGCCGCCGCUAACGCAUUAAGUAUUCCGCCUGGGGAGUACGGUCGCAAGAUUUAAAACUCAAAGGAAUUGACGGGGGCCCGCACAAGCAGCGGAGCAUGUGGUUUAAUUUGAAGCAACGCGAAGAACCUUUCCUAGACUUGACAUCUCCUGCAUUACCCUUAAUCGGGGAAGUUCCUUCGGGGACAGGAAGACAGGUGGUGCAUGGUUGUCGUCAGCUCGUGUCGUGAGAUGUUGGGUUAAGUCCCGCAACGAGCGCAACCCUUAUUGUUAGUUGCUACCAUUUAGUUGAGCACUCUAGCGAGACUGCCCGGGUUAACCGGGAGGAAGGUGGGGAUGACGUCAAAUCAUCAUGCCCCUUAUGUCUAGGGCUACACACGUGCUACAAUGGCAAGUACAAAGAGAAGCAAGACCGCGAGGUGGAGCAAAACUCAAAAACUUGUCUCAGUUCGGAUUGUAGGCUGAAACUCGCCUACAUGAAGCUGGAGUUGCUAGUAAUCGCGAAUCAGCAUGUCGCGGUGAAUACGUUCCCGGGCCUUGCACACACCGCCCGUCA